rnacentral:rRNA from 1 species
GACGUAGGGCGCGAGCGUUGUCCGGAUUUAUUGGGCGUAAAGGGUGCGUAGGUGGCGUGGUAAGUCGGGUGUGAAAUUUCGGAGCUUAACUCCGAAACUGCAUUCGAUACUGCCGUGCUUGAGGACUGGAGAGGAGACUGGAAUUUACGGUGUAGCAGUGAAAUGCGUAGAGAUCGUAAGGAAGACCAGUGGCGAAGGCGGGUCUCUGGACAGUUCCUGACACUGAGGCACGAAGGCCAGGGGAGCAAACGGG